rnacentral:tRNA from 1 species
GUCCUGGUGGCUGAGCAGUAAAGCGCUUGGCUUCCAAACACGGGGUUCCAGGUUCAAAUCCUGGUGAAGACU